CCUACGGGAGGCAGCAGUGGGGAAUAUUGCACAAUGGGGGAAACCCUGAUGCAGCGACGCCGCGUGAGUGAAGAAGUAUUUCGGUAUGUAAAGCUCUAUCAGUAGGGAAGAAAAUGACGGUACCUGAUUAAGAAGCACCGUCUAACUACGUGCCAGCAGCCGCGGGAAUACGUAGGGGGCAAGCGUUAUCCGGAUUUACUGGGGGUAAAGGGAGCGUAGACGGGAGCACAAGUCUGGAGUGAAAGGCCUGGGCUUAACCCCGGAACUGCUUUGGAAACUGUGCAGCUAGAGUGCAGGAGAGGUAAGUGGAAUGCCUAGUGUAGCGGUGAAAUGCGUAGAUAUUAGGAGGAACACCAGUGGCGAAGGCGGCUUACUGGACUGUAACUGACGUUGAGGCUCGAAAGCGUGGGGAGCAAACAGGAUGAGAUACCCGAGUAGUC
rnacentral:rRNA from 1 species